GCCAACUGCAGCAUCAGGGACCACAGUGAAGGGGACACUGAGUGAGCAGAGGGCUUUGACCAUCUUCUUACCUGAUAAGACAGGCUGUGACUCUGUAAUGUACACAAUGAAAUGCUUCUUGGUGCCAGGGCAGCUUCUCAGCACCACUCUGGGCUAGGUGUGCAUUAAUACUCUUGCCCCAUCUUUGAUCAAAGUAUGGCACAGAUCUGCAAUUUUAUUUCUCGACAGUGAUAUUCUCCUGAGGAAAAUCUCUCCCCGCUCAUCACGAUCUUUUUACAUUUGGAGUAAUCAGAGUAUUCCAGGGAGGUACAGCCGAUGAAGCACAGGAAGAGCUCACCGCCCGACAACACGGCCACUGAAGAGUCCAUGCCACUGGGUUUCUGUGGCCCUGCUUAACGCCGGGUGGCCGGCUCUGCUGGAGCAGAGGAAGUUAAUGUGAUAACAUCGUGGAAGAGGAGGAAGCCUGUGUAGCAUCAGCUUGCCCAUAGCCCGUGUCCCUGAUAAGUGGCUACAUCCAGAAAAGAAGAAAGCGCUGACUUCUGUUUGCUGAGUAAUUCCCCUUUUGAAGCAUGGACAAGCGAGGGGUGCCCCCUGGGACAUCUCUUUCCCUCCAAGUUAAGAUGAGGUCAUUGGAUGGGCCCUUCUCCAAUAUGACUAUGUCAUUAUAAAAAGGAAAUCUGGA
ensembl:lncRNA